AGAACAUUAAGGAACAACAUUUCAAACAGUGUACUAAUGCUGCGUUCCAGACACAAUUUUUAGCCCGUAAGUUACGACUUCAAGUCGCGACUCACGACUUGGGAGCGUUCCAGGGUUCAGGUUAGGCUACCUAAUGUUAACGUUAGCUAGCGCUAGCUGGUACUAGCGAUUUCUAGUCGGCGACAUAUUUUGGGCUUCAUUU